GCCUCUGGUAGCUCAGUUGGUAGAGCGGUGGACUGUAGAUCCAUAGGUCGCUGGUUCAAAUCCGGCCAGAGGACU